rnacentral:rRNA from 1 species
AGGACGAACGCUGGCGGCGUGCUUAACACAUGCAAGUCGAGCGGUAAGGCCGUUUCGGGGUACACGAGCGGCGAACGGGUGAGUAACACGUGGGUGAUCUGCCCUGCACUUCGGGAUAAGCCUGGGAAACUGGGUCUAAUACCGGAUAUGACCUCCUAUCGCAUGGUGGGUGGUGGAAAGAUUUAUCGGUGCAGGAUGGGCCCGCGGCCUAUCAGCUUGUUGGUGGGUAAUGGCCUACCAAGGCGACGACGGGUAGCCGACCUGAGAGGGUGACCGGCCACACUGGGACUGAGACACGGCCCAGACUCCGUACGGGAGGCAGCAGUGGGAAUAUGCACAAUGGGACGAAAGCCUGAUGCAGCGACGCCGCGUGAGGAUGACGGCGUCGGUUGUAACUCUUCUAGCAGGACGAAGCG